rnacentral:rRNA from 1 species
UACGAAGGGGGCUAGCGUUGUUCGGAAUUACUGGGCGUAAAGCGCACGUAGGCGGCUUUGUAAGUUAGAGGUGAAAGCCCAGGGCUUAACCCUGGAAUUGCCUUUAAGACUGCAUCGCUAGAAUCGUGGAGAGGUGAGUGGAAUUCCGAGUGUAGAGGUGAAAUUCGUAGAUAUUCGGAAGAACACCAGUGGCGAAGGCGGGCUCACUGGCCCCGG